rnacentral:lncRNA from 1 species
GGCAAUUGGAAUUUAUAUAAACAGCAAAAAUCGUGUCAACAGAAUUCAGUUGCUUCAGGAAACAGAGCAAACGUUUGAAAACAAUUAGAUAACAGCUCCUGUCACUUUCAAGUGAUAUAUUGCAAGAUUGAAUGGAAGGAGCUACUGGUCAGUUAGUAUUUAAGUACCUGGGUAACAUGCAGAGAAGGAGUGCUCCACUAUUAUAGAACUCAUCACUGCAGCAUGUCCUAAGCUACCUAUUAGUAUUUAAAUUCUUGGCCGGCCGUGCUACGUCAUUUGACCUUCGGAAACUACAACUGAAAUGAGGUAGAAAUUAGUAACAUUCUUUCUGCAAUAAAAUAUGCAUGGCUCAAGGCAUCGAAGAGUAGUCACCUACGCCAUCAUGCUAAGCUUUUAGCUUGAAGAAACCAACUUUAUAAAAGCCACAGUAGGCUUGGAUUCUGGGCACAAAAUACUUCACAAACCUUGCAGCACCGUCAAUGGAGAGAGCAUCUCAAAUCACCUUCUUCCUGUUACUCAUCAUCCACUCCGGCAUAGCUCAAAAUGCUACCACGAGUGGAGCAGAUGAGUUCCCCGUUGGAGUGAUCCUCAACUUGGAAUCAUUGCGGGGCAAGAUGGCGCGGACCAGCCUUUUGAUGGCUCUGGAAGACUUCUAUACGGUCCACAGAAACUACAGCCCGAAGGUAGUUCUCCACAUCAGGGACUCCAAAAGUAACAGCGUAGAAGCUGCAUCAGCAGGUAAAAGUUCUGCAGCCCAUAUAAAAAAUAAAAACUCUUUACUACUCCCUCCAUUGCUUACAAAUAUGCUUUCUCAACUUCAUAUUGUCUUUGAAGUACAACUUUUUACGCUGUCGUAAAAAAACAACUUCUAAAACUGUUUUUUUUUCAUCGAAAGCCCCACCCCCCAGCCCUUUUAUUAAACAAGGCAAGCAAAACACAGAUUACUGUUCACAGCGCUCGGCUAAACCAAAGUAGCUGAGCUAGAAAAGUUUAAAUUCCACCCCAAGCCAUACAUCAGGCUGGUGGAAAGGGCAAGAACUCUCAACACAGCGAGCAAAGGAACAUAACUGACUUUCAUCAUUCAACUUAGUACAAGCUACAAAACUGCAAUAUUAUGAACACAGUUUUGAUAGAAUCAACAUGGUUAUUUACCAAUGUACCACUACUAAUGGACAAAGUUGGAAGCGUUUGAUAGUAACAUUUAUCAAAAGGAUUUAAUGGUUUUUACUUAGGAACGAGUGUUUUUUUGGCUAUAUCUUUACUUUCCACGUGCUCCAUAUAUAAUACUUCAUCUGUUUAACAAUAGACAUCCAACUAACAAAUGUCCAUGGAAAGAACAGUUGUAAAUCAAAUAAAUAAACACUAACAAGGCUAGUUUAUUACAUUCCUGUUAAACGAAGUACUUUGAGCAUAUAUCUCCUGCUAAAGUUUAGAAACAUCAAAAGGACAAUGUUUGGCUACUAAACUCUUUACUAUUGCCAACAAAUAUUUACACUUCUUUUCAAGGAAAUAUUAUAUGAGUUUUACUCUCAGAAAAGUUAGUGCAUACAUAUUUAAUAACCCGAUUAUGUUUACCUUAGCUUUCCCUUGAUGGGUUUGUUGGUCUGAGAAACCUUAACAACAAAAAUGAUUCCUGCCAGUUGCUACCUGGUUAUAAUCCGGUUAGCCACCUAAUUGUUGUGAAGUGACUGUUCAAAUUUCAAUACCCAGAGAUUAUAGAUUUACUCAUGGUUUCAGAUGUAUGGUCAUCUGUAGUCUGUGAAAUUUAAUCGUAUGACAUAUUCAUUACAUAAAUUUUCGACAAUGCAUAGCUAAUCUUUGCUGGGCAAGUGCUUUAGCAUGCUUUUUAUGAUAAAGUUCUGUGGAAGCGGUUGCUUGACCUGAGCCACAGUGUUGAAGUCCCUUCGUAUCUGGACUGUUCUCUCUGUACUAACAGAGAGAUUCACUAAUCAACUGUUUCUAUUCACAAGAAAAACAGAACAUAGCAGAUCAGUAGGAAAUAGGAAAAAGAUUGUAGGAUGUGGUCUUAGAAAUCGAAUGGCGUUAUUAGCAAUAAUCUUUCUACUCGAGGACCCUCUUUUGUCAAUGGAAAUAUGAAGUUUAUUUCCAAAUGAAAAAUCACACAAUAAUACCUUGAAAAAAUCCUCCAGAUGGAUCAAGGAAAUAUCCCUAUGAUUAUCUCACCUGAAAUGGAAAAAGGAGAGUCAAGCAUUCCUUAGAAUUGUUAUUGUAGUAAAAGAACAUUGAAUAUACUCCAUAAAAGGCUUCUAAAAGUUCUGUGAUGAAAUCAAAGGUAAAAUAAGCACUAUUUAUCAGCGUAACUAGUAAUACAGGUUAUAAAUGUCAUAUUUCAAAACAACUCAAGUAAACAGACCGAACUGUAAUUAUAUUUUAUACUGACAAGUUUAGUUACGUUCAUCCAUAUAUUGUGGGUUCAAAUUUGUAGUUUCAUCUGCAAAUCUGUAAUAAUUUUCAAUCCUGUUUUGCACAAGUUUAAGUUAACUAGGACAACAAAAGCAUAGCUACAGAGUGCUCUGAACCAACAUAUAUAUUUUGUAAAUACUAUGUCAUUUUUUUACUCUCCGAUUCUGAAUUUAUGAAACUUCUCGCAGCAAAUAUUUGCAAUCAAAUAAAAUUUGAUUAUGAACCUUUACAGCUCUCGACCUGCUAGAGAAUUACAAUGUCCAAGCUAUCAUAGGCCCUCAAACAUCUUCACAAGCAGCAUUUGUAUCGGAUCUCGGGAAUAAAAGUCAGGUCCCUAUCAUCUCCUUCACAGCAACAAGCCCAUCUCUUUACUCUGGCAGUCUUCCAUAUUUUAUUCGUGCAACAUUGAGUGACUCUACACAAGUGAAUAGCAUUGCCUCCCUAAUCAAGGCCUACGGGUGGAGACAGGUGGUGCCAAUUUAUGAAGAAACUGACUAUGGUAGAGGUGUCAUACCAUAUCUCAUCGACGCCCUCCAAGAAAUUGAUGCUCGCGUUCCCUAUCGGAGUGUGAUCCCUCUGUCGGCAUCUAAUGAACAAAUUACCCAAGAACUCUAUAAGUUAAUGACAAUGCAAACAAGGGUCUUCUUGGUGCAUAUGUCACCUGAUCUGGCUUCGAUCCUCUCAAUAUUUGGAUGAACGUAACUAAACUUGAUAAGUUAAUGACAAUUACCCAAGAACUCUAUAAGUUAAUCAGAUGUAUUACCCAAGAACCCAAUGCAAACAAGUACUACAUUUAAGUUUAAUGCAACCAUGUAAAAGAUAAUAGCACACAACCCACCCAAAUAAUGUAUUGCAAUUGAGAGGAGAUUUUGAGCAGGAAUUUCAGUGCAUUGGGUUCUUUCUUAGAUCUAGAUGGAAUGAGAUAGUGAAAUAGAUUAUUUUUUUAAAGUCCUUUCGGAUGAAAAUGGAAGAAUAGUAUGCAAUAAAUCUCACCUGGAUAAAGUAAAUUAAAAGGAAUUUUCUCUUAUCCUCGUUUGUUCCUUCCUUUAGAUAAUACUUGAAAAUCCCCUUACAGCAACAAAUCCAAUUUCGAAGGGACUUCCUCCCCCUGUUGAGAAAACUUUUCUUCUUCCAGUUCUUAUUUUCUCCAUCCAAUUCAGUUUAAAAAAAUCCUCAAAAUACUUCAAUUGGUAGCUACGCGCAAGAAAUAGGCCAAUUUGGCAGCUUUUUGUUCAAUUUCUGAUGGAGUAAAAUAUCAUCAGUAAGAGUCAAGGGAAUGAUCCCCUGGCCCUGGAUUUCCAUAUAAAGGAUACGACGAGGAUAAAUACCCAAAUUGAAUUCUAAUUGGGGCCAUAUUUCUCCAUUGUAUAGUGUGUAUAACCACCAUAUCAUGCUUCCCUAUUGGUCUGGUAACCAUUCUUGUAAGUACUAUGCUAUUGUAGCAAAAAAUUGUAACAUGCCAUCUGUUGCUUGCAACUCAUAAGGUAAAAUACAAUAUCAAAGGAAUAUACACGUCAUCUUUACAUGAUAAGAACACAUGGCAUAGUUAGGCUCUUCUCAGUUAACCUAUUCAUAUCCUCAUGGCAUAGUUACAGCUUUCAUAACAAAGAUUAAGCAUCAUCAUUUUGCUGGUCAGUAAAGUAACUCUGUUUGAUGCACUUGCAGAAAUACGAUAUAGCAAUUGGAGACAUAACAAUCUCAGAGAACAGAAUGUCUUAUGUCGACUUCGCUCUACCGUACACAGAAUCAGGAGUGGCAAUGGUUGUUCCAGCCAAGAGCAGCAGAACUAACAACACAUGGAUUUUCGUUGAGCCAUUAUCACGUGACCUGUGGCUCGGAAGUAUCAUAUUAUUUUUCUACACAUGGGUUGUUCUCUGGCUAUUGGAGUUUCUUGGAAAUAACACAAAUAUCCCGGACGAAGUUCCCAGAAAGCUCGGGAUUAUGACCUUCUUUUCCCUGUUUGGAGACAGUGAGUAUAUUUAUCAAAAUACUUCCGUUCCUUAAAAGAAAAUGAACGUUUGCAUAGUAUCUUACUUGAAGUAUCAAGUUGCAUGAAGAAACAGUGUUUUAAUGUUGGUGCAACAAACAAAGCUACAAAGUUGUAGUGAAUAGACAUGCUUCUGGUUGCCUGAAUGAUGCAAGAAUGUGAAUGUGUAGAGAUAGCUUAGAAAAUUAGAUUCUCCUGCAGUUGGAUAGGCCUGGGGUGUACAAAACAAAGCUGAAGUGGCUAGGUUACUUUGUAAGUCAUUUCAGUACCUUAUUUAACGCAAUAGCUUCUGUCGUAGAAAUAUUGUACUCCCUCUAUAAACAUAACUAGACUACCAAACAAUUUCCACAAUCAAAAGAACUUAAUAAGCACAAUAUGUACUUAUGUAGAAAUUUACAUAUUAAGUUUCAUGACUUUCAUCUACAUUAUGCAGUUAUGUGGGUUCCUGCAUUUUCCUUUCAUAUAACAGAAAAACUUAUUGAAGUCCAUAUAAAAAAUUUCAGAGGACAGAGUGGAACGCUUACUAUCUCGGAUAGUUUUGAUUGUAUGGGUAUUUUUCUUCCUUGUAUUGUCAGCAAGCUACACCGCGAACUUGGCAACGAUGCUUACCAUACGACAGCUAAAUCCAACUAUAACUGAUAUCCAUGAACUCCGUAAAAGUGGGGAGUAUGUAGGAUGCAUUCGUGGUUCCUACGUCGAGAGAAUAUUGGAACAACUCAAUUUCGACGGAUCGAAGAUCAAGACCUAUAAUACCUAUGAUGGAUUUUACAGUGCACUCUCAAAGGGAAGCAAAAAUGGUGGAAUUGCUGCGUUCAUUCAUGAAGUCCCAUACAUCAGAUUAUUUCUUGCAAGGAACUGCAAAGGGUACACUAUGGUUCCAUUUUAUAAAGCAGCGGGUUUUGGAUAUGUAAGUAACAAACUUUCAUCUGUCUGUUUGCACUAUGUCUCUGAAGCUGACAGUCAUUAAAUUUGUUUGAAAUACGAAUAUAUCAUAGACAUUCCUGUACGCAUCUCAUCACUGCUAGUUUUAUUUAAGAUGUGACCAUUGCUAGCUUUGCAUACCUAAUUCCUAAGUGAAUGAGUAGAGGGGAAAUGAUACUGAACCAAUGCUCACAUAAUUACCAUAUGCACUUUUGUGAACAUUUGAUGUUUACUAAUAAAAUGGCCGUUAAUCACAUAACUCUUGUACACUGAAUCAACAAAGUGUGCUACUAGCCUAUUACUAGUGGUGUCUAGUAUUUAUUUAUUUUUCUUUCAGGAAGUCGCAUAUGAGCUUGGGUACAGUUGCUACUACCAUAUCAAGUUGAUGUAUCUCAAGGUUUUCAAAAAACAUGAAAACAAUCGUGAAUAUAGUAUUAUAGUGCAUGCCAUAAUACAUGAACCUGUAAACAAUCAUCCAUAAAUAUGACCAGGUGUGGCAAUAAAGGGAAGAAGAGAGCUAAGUGAAUACUAUUGCAAUUAAAGUGAUCAACUCUACAUACAUAUGAACUAAAGGCUACAUGUUUUCCAAGGGACAUGCUAGUAGGGAAAUAGUCAAAUUACAAGUUAAUAUAAUCAGAAAUCAAACUAAAAAGACUUUGAAGAGAUAAAUUUGGGGAGACAAUUGCAAAAUGAAUUUAAGAACAAAAACACCCACAAGGAAGCUCAAAAUUCAGCUUACAUAUACAAACAAUAUUAUCCAAAUAAAGUCGAGAAAAUUCAUCAUCCCAGUUCAUAGAGCGGUCAUGUAGGAUUUACUACUCCCUCCGUUCCUAAAUAUAAGUCUUUUUAGACAUAUCAAAUGGACUAGAACAUAUGGAUGCAUGUAGACAUAUUUUAGAGUGUAGAUCCACUCAUUUUGCUCCAUAUGUAGUCACUUGUUGGAAUCUCUAAAAAGACUUAUAUUUGGGAACGGAGGGAGUACUAUGCAAGAUGAAAUCCAUUAUUUGCAACUUGAUAAAACUUUGUAGCAUUAUGGUCAAGAUCUACUUCACCAUAGCUAACCAAGAAUAUAAAGUUAUAAACACAUCAAAAAGCAUGGAUUCAACUCCAAAUACAUAAUAAAUCACAGCAUAGCCGUGGUCUCCGCCUAGUUUUGUUCACCACCAACGCCUUCAUGCAUCACUAAAUGCCGGGGCUGGUCAGUGAUAGCAUGUCAUGGGCACACCUGGGCAUCAUCUACCCCCGCAUCUCAACCAGAAAGACAGUGCCAACCAUCAUAACCAGUUUGGCCUUGUCCUUGUAGCCAGUGAGAACCACCAGAUUCCUUGAGAAUGUGCGGUGUGGAGUGAGCGAGAUAAGAAACCCCCUUUUUUGCAUUUCAUAAGGAGAGUUAAAGUAUGGUGAUUGGUGGAUCACUUCCAGGACGCAUGUGGACAGUACUCAGUAGUAUUUUAAGAAAGGGCUUUGGUACCUUCUCAUCCUGGUUUCUCAGAUGGUGUGGAAGGAGAGGAAUAACAAGGUUUCCAAUUAACCACAACUUUCUGUUUGUGCUUAGUGUCAACAAUCAAGGAAGAGUCCAGAGAAUGGUUUAUUGUCAGAGUAUCCUGCAUGGAUUGGGUGCUGGACAGUUGGGUAGUUCGAGUUGUGGAUCAUUUUUUUUAAUCUGUUUGUCAUUUCAGCAGCUCAAUUCAUUUUCUUCAGGUCAUGCCUUUCUUCCUUUCAUUUAAUCCAGAAACAUAGGCUAUCUCAAGCCAGUAACGCAUUGACUGUUAAUCUCUUCUUAGUGGAAAGACAUGUAGUUCUCAAGAAAAAGAGCAAUAGAGAAAUAAAUAUGAACUGCUAAAGUCAAUAUGGCAAAUCAUGAAGUAAUCAACCUCUGGAGUGGCAAAUAAUGGAUUACAUUCUAUACAGUGGCAUACCCUAAAAGACCACUGUAUGAAUUGACAAUGAUUGAUUUUAUCAUUGAAAUUUGAUAAUGAUUUAUGCCACCACAGGUGCUAUACUGCUAUUACCUAAGUAAGUGGAUGGUAUCACCACUUGUUAAUGGGAAAACAAGAUGUGCUUCUAUGGGUAUUACAUAAUUCUGGAUGCAGUUUGUGCAUAAAAAAAUAAAUAUAAAAACACUAAUUCUCUUUAAGAUACACAAGUACUCAAUUCGAAAUCGUGUACAACUCACCCAUACAAGUGAAAAAAUCCUCUUUGUUUAUCACAUAAAUAUAUAAUCUAUUAUGCAUGUUCAUUUCUAAGUAGUUUCUUACUUCUUCCCAAGUCAAUAUGUGCUGCCACAUACGUUCAUAUAUAUAUAUUAAGAAGAAUUUAAAUUUCUUAGCUCUUACCAAGCAAUAUGCGCUGCCACAUAAGUUCAUGUAUGUGCACCAGAGUUAGUUUCUAUAACACUUAGUCUCAUGACAAUCUGGACUUCUUUGCUACCACAUGGGUUCAAUUUCAUCUUGCGUUAGGCAUCACCGUAGCAGGAUACGAAGUGUGCUGGAGCUAUGAUAUAAGCUAACAGGACACUCAAUUUCUUUAACAGGCAUUUCCAAAAGGAUCUCCUCUAGUUGGGGACAUCUCAAAGGCAAUCCUGAGCGUAAUAGGAGGAGACACUAUUAAUCAAAUUGAGAAGAAAUGGAUCGGAAUCGGAUAUCAAAACAACUGCAACAAUGCGGGGCGUGCACCUGAUCCAGAAAAACUCACACCUGAUGGUUUUACAGGACUUUUUAUACUUAGUGGAGUUGUUUCAACUUCUUCUCUUCUGAUAGCCGUGGUGAUUUACUUUUAUGAAAAGAAAAACUCAACAACUAAGACGCAACCUGAACCAAAGGGAGAUCAGGCAGAAGGAAAUGAAAGAGGUAAUGAAGCUGGAGAAGAGAUGCAAAACAUAGGUCUACAACCAAGUGGCCACAGGCACAAUGCUUCAGCUGUCUCUUGGGGGUUUAGAAGAAGUUUUGGCACAAGAGUGGCACCUGUUUCAAGUUCAAGUCGUUUCUAGCUCAGCUAGCUGGUAUUACAUAAAGCAGCCUCCAGCUAAAUAAAUUUCUAAAAUGGUAAAAGUUUGGAUUGAAGUAGCUCGACAUACAACAGCUAAGUAUGUUUAUAGUUCAUACAUAAAGCUCAACUUAUCCUAGGCAUCCAGUCUGCCAACACUGGUCCCAGUCGGAUGAUUGUUUGUACUAAUUUUCACGUGUAAAUCUUGUUUAAGCACACUGCCAUACCUAUUCAAACCUGGUUGAACAGAACCAUCUAGUCAAGUGUUUGCUUCAUACGUACAAGGUUACAUUCUUUUUCUCGUGAAUUUAAGAACUUCACAUGUCCCAUACAGAUUGUCACCUGUCGGCCACUCGGAUGGUUUAGGGAUUUAGGGGUUUUCGUAGAAAGUGCGGGCAUUGUUUCGCACCACUAACAGACAUGUUUUCAAAUGUAUCCCUAAGUCGGCAUUCUAACAAACACCUGGCAUGCAUCGGGACAUCUUGUUUUGGUUUCCUCCAGCUAACACUGAUGUUUCGCGCGAAGUUGGUAUUUUCAUAGCAUGUGCGCGGCAUGAAAUAAUCACAUCAUGGAACAUCCUUGGAAAACAUAUCCCAAAAUUAGAAAGAGAAGAGGGUUUUUGCGAGGUCUAGACCAAGAGUUCCGGGAUUUGCAGAACUGAGCGAGGCUCGUACCUUGUCGCGUUGUCGUCGCACGGGCGCAGCACGGCGCGGGCUCCGGUAACAGCCGGUUGAAUCCUCCUGGAGUACGUCGAAAGGGUGGUUGGGUGGUGGAGCAGAGCACAGCCGGAAAGCCGCUGUGAUGUCGGCGGCGAAGGCGACCUCCACGCCCGCCACUCGCCGAGCGCGCGCGAACAUAAAAAAUUGCGGAGACCCUGCGCACGGGAUGUGGGGUCACGGCCUUAGGCUGAUCAUAACGGGGAGUAACUUAGACUAGUGUCAUGCAUAUGACAUUAGUCUUUGUUACUAUUUUCAUAGUGCAAAAUAACAUAUAAAUAGUAUCAUAGAUGAUUGCAUUUAUUACAUUAUAGACUCAUUUUGUUUUGGGUUGUGUUAUGUUACAGUAACAUAUUAUGUUACUCCAAACACUUCUCUCUUCAUUAUCUAUAUGCCACGUAAACAAACUUGUUUUGGAAUGCGCUAUGUUACUUGCUAAGUUACUCCCACAAUGACCAGCCUUAGAGCAACUUCAACAGCUCCUUCGAAAAACUUCCCAUAAAACUGGCAGUAAAAUUUAGUAAAAUUUAGAGAAAGUUGUCUCAAAUUACUUUUAUCAGUCCAGUAAACAUCUCCCCCUAAAUCUACUUUUAUUUUACUUUUAGUUAGACAAAAAUAGAUAAUGGCGUAGGACCCGCCAGUCAAGUGACACGCAUGACGGUCGUUGGUGAGGGCGACGCAAGACGGUGCGGGGCAGCCGGCGCGAGGCGGUGUGGUGGCAAGGUUUCGUCGGGGCGGAUAGUAAAGUUUUAGGCGGAUCGUCGCAGUCCCCUCCCUCCCCUCCCGCGAGCGCCCCGGGGGGGGCCUAGCUCCGGGCCACGGCCCUCCUCCUCGUACCUCCCUCCCCUCCCCGCCGCCCCGACGUGCUGGUGGGCUAGGCCCAGCCAGCGCGGGCGGCGGCGGGGUGUUCCUCCUUCCCCCGCCCAGGCCGACGGUCGCGAGAUCCAAUAUCGGGUGGCGGCGCGGCGCUUUCCUCGGGGUACGGCGGCGUGGCAGCAGCAGGCGGCGGAGACGCGGGCUGCGGGUGGCGGCGUGAAGGGGCUGAGGCGUGGUGGGCGCGGUGGGCUCCGGCAGUAUUGACCCUGUCGGCAUGCGUCCAGAUCUGGGCCCAGGCGGCGUGGGCUGCGGGCGUCCGCCUCUGCCGUGGCCAUGGCUGGUAGGGGCGGAGGCGCAGCGGCGGUGGCAGGUGGACGGGCUACUCGAUCGGUUUCCAGGCGUCCCGCCGGCUGGACGGCGACGGCGGCGCGGUUGGACUCCCCAGUGAGCUUCCUUGGGGGCGGGCGAUGGUCCUGGUGGGCACUCCUUGCCGGUGGCUGGGGCGCCUUUGUUGGUGGCCUUGCGCGGCUCUGUGUUGGUCGCCGAAGCGGGGCGACAUAGGGGUGUGUCCGGGGGAAGGGAUUGGGCUGGAGGGAUGGGCGGCACUGACGUGCUCGGGCGCCCGUCACCGCACAGGGGUCUGCCGGUCUGGAUGCGUCCACUCCCCCACCUCCCCCUUUCCCUGGCCGCGUGCAAGCGGCUGUUGCGUCGGCGAUCUUCAAGGCGGGAUACAUUCUGCGGCUCGUCGGUCUGGUGUGUCCCCUUGGUCCAAAGUUGAUCCUUUUGAAUGAUCUUGGGGGUGUUUGGAUGUUGGGUAGCGGCCCUGGCGGUGGGAGGCGCGCCGUCCGUGGACGGAACCUACGUCUCGGGUGUGGGCGGGCAACCAUGGCCUCGCGGGGGGCUUGGUUGCAGCCGGUUGACAGAGCAAGGGUAUGUUGGAGGGGUGAGAGCACCGGAGUUCAUCACUUGCCCAGUCCUUGUACUGGCCGAUGACGGCAGCGGCAGCCGUGGUCGUCGUAUCCUUCAUGAAGGCACCGUGGCGGUGCUCCUACCCCUCGCAUGUGACUCCGGGUGAAAACUUGAUCUACGGAUCGGAUGGUGGCGGCUAUCCGUGGGCAUCCCCUUCUAGGAGGCACUAUCUUGGAGUCCCUGCUCUGUCAUGACCGUAUCCUCCCUCCUCAUUUCUUCGUGGAGGUCUCCGUCCUCUUCAAGCGGUUAAAUUAGCUUGGUUGGCAGUGGCAUUGGAGGACGGUGCUCGACACCUUUGUAUCAUGUCUUGGGUGUGUGUGUUGCGUGCGGUGGUGGUGUGUGUUGUAUCGGUCUGUCCGGAUGUUGUGAUGAUGUUAGCUUUAUAAUAUAAAGCGGGGGAAACCCUUUUUCGGCAAAGCUUUAGGCGGCUUCUAGCCCGCCAAAAAUAUACGGGAAGAUGCAACAACGUAUAGGCAGUUUUCUUCGGCCCCGUCUCAAAUUCCUCAUAUUAAUAAAAUGAUUAUUAUUAUGCCCUAGAGGCAAUAAUAAAAUGAUUAUUAUUAUAUUUCCUUGUUCAUGAUAAUUGUCUAUUAUUCAUGCUAUAAUUGUGUUAUCCGGAAAUCGUAAUACAUGUGUGAAUACAUAGACCACAACAUGUCCCUAGUGAGCCUCUAGUUGACUAGCUCAUUGAUCAACAGAUAGUCAUGGUUUCCUGACUAUGGACACUGGAUGUCAUUGAUAACCGGAUCACAUCAUUAGGAGAAUGAUGUGAUGGACAAGACCCAAUCCUAAGCAUAGCACAAGAUCGUGUAGUUCGUUUGCUAGAGCUUUUCCAAUGUCAAGUAUCAUUUCCUUAGACCAUGAGAUCGUGUAACUCCCGGAUACCAUAGGAGUGCUUUGGGUGUACCAAACGUCACAACAUAACUGGGUGACUAUAAAGGUAUACUAAAGGUAUCCCCGAAAGUAUCUCUUGGGUUGACACGGAUCGAGACUAGGAUUUGUCACUCCGUAUGACGGAGAGGUAUCUCUGGGCCCACUCGGUAAUGCAUCAUCAUAAUGAGCUCAAUGUGACCAAGUGGUUGGUCACGGGAUCAUGCAUUACGGUACGAGUAAAGUGACUUGCCGGUAACGAGAUUGAACGAGGUAUUGGGAUACCGACGAUCGAAUCUCGGGCAAGUAACGUACCGAUUGACAAAGGGAAUUGUAUACGGGAUUACUUGAAUCCUCGACAUCGUGGUUCAUUCGAUGAGAUCAUCGUGGAACAUGUGGGAGCCAACAUGGGUGUCCAGAUCCCUAUUAUGGUUAUUGGUCAGAGAGCUGUCUCGGUCAUGUCUGCGUGAUUCCCGAACCCGUAGGGUCUACACACUUAAGGUUCGGUGACGCUAGGGUUGUAGAGAUAUUAGUAUGCGGUAACCCGAAAGUUGUUCGGAGUCCCAGAUGAGAUCCCGGAUGUCAUGAGGAGUUCCGGAAUGGUCCGGAGGUAAAGAUUUGUAUAUAGGAAGUCCAGUUUCGGCCACCAGCAAAGUUUCGGGGGUCACCGGUAUUGUACCGGGACCACCAGAAGGGUCCCGGGGUCCACCGGGUGGGGCCACCUAUCCCGGAGGGCCCCAUGGGCUGAAGUGGGAAGGGAACCAGCCCCUGGUGGGCUGGUGCGCCCCCCUUGGGCCUCCCCCUGCGCCUAGGGUUGGAAACCCUGGGGGUGGGGGGCGCCCCACCUGACUUGGGGGGCAAGUUCCCCCCUUUGCCUCCCCCCUUGAGAUUGGAUCUCUAAGGGGCCGACGCCCCCCCAGGGCCCCUAUAUAAAGAGGGGGAGGGAGGGCUGCGCACCCAAUCCCCUGGCGCCCCCCUCUCCCCCCGUAACACCUCUCCCUCUCGCUGAGCUUGGCGAAGCCCUGCCGAGAUCCCCGCUACUUCCACCACCACGCCGUCAUGCU